GGGGCUGACUGGUUUCGACAGCAAGAUCAAUGGGUAGGUAAGCAUGCCGAGCCACGUAACAAUAUCUCGUAAAAAUAGUGUUACAAACCUUUAACUGGCAACGAAGAAUACGCUUUAGCUGCUUAAUCCGACUGAAUUACAGUAAGUCCAAGCAUUUUCCCUGCAAGGCAGGGAAGCUAAAUGUCUCUCAAAAGCCUUUCUCUACGGCGUUUGAUUUAGAGGCACAGGAAGGUAGAGAUAGAAUGAGGUAGGUAUCGGAUUUCAUUUAAAAAUUAAGAUACUAAGUUGUAAUUGGGGUGUGAAUUCUCAGCUUACAAACGAAAAUCAAUAAUUCACUAAGCAUGUAGAAAGCUUAUGUAUUGCUUGUUUGGACGAGGGUUCGAAUCCCUCCAGCUCCACUA
rnacentral:tmRNA from 1 species